rnacentral:lncRNA from 1 species
UUUUUAAUAACACGAGUUUGACCGCGUUCUCAAACAGUGCCUGACAUGCGACGCAACACGAAGGGCAAUUACGGGAAUGAAAAGCAACAACCAUCUACCAUAAAGAGAGAAAAUUCAGGCAGUCAAAGAGCAAUCAUAGAAUGAGGUUUUGCUCUCAGAGAGGUGGACUGGUUGCGCUACGGUGGUUGCCUCCCUCUCCCUCUGAAAGACUGCGAAGCCGAUGAUUUCACCAUCGCCCUCUUCACAUGUGUAUGUGUGUGUGUAUGUGUGUGUAUUAUAAUCCUUUUGUUAAUAUUUCCUUCUUCUUCUUCUUCUUCUUCUUCUUCUUCUGCUUCUGCUUCGAGGCUGUGAUGUAUUUACCAGUUAUAAAUCAGUAAAUUUUAAAGAAACCCUUCAAUCAUUUGGCAUGGCAAGUUAGGGUUUCUCUGUGAAAUUGACUGUUUUGUCCAUUUUCACAGAGAAAACUCUCCUCAUUGCAGCCGUGGUUUUUGUGUUUCUUUUUUAUGUGUUUGGCAUUAUGGUAGCUUUUCGGGUUCAGGUUUGAAUUGAUUUUCAGACUACAAAAAGCGAAUCUGAGCCUCCUGAAAAGCCGGUAUAUUCUGCUCUCGUAACACUCCAAAACAAAAGAAAGAAAAAAAAAUGCGAUCUCUCUCUCUCUGAACCUCUCUAUCUCUCUAUGACUCUAUCUAUCUAUGAGGCAGUGAUGAUCUUCGAAAUGAAGAAUCAGAUAGAAAGGGACAUGCAAUUUUUGGCAGGGCGAUAUUGUUAGGUCUGUGAAAUGAAAUGAGUGUUUUAUAAGCCAGUAGGAAGACGAAACAUCAUUCUUUCACAGGCACUGUUGCAGCCAUGGUUGCGUUCCGCUUCUUGUCUGACAAACUGCGAAUCUGAGCCUCCAGUCCCCUCCCCUCCAAAUUUUUCUUAAAACCCCCAUCUGGGUUUCAUUUAAUUGUAUCCCUGUGCUAUUCUUGUUUACCCAAUUUAUGUUUUUUCUAGAAGUUGCUUUUGUCUUUUUAAUUUAUUCUCUCAAUUUCGGAUAGAAAUUGCUCUUGAUUCUGGGUGGCUCCAAAAUCUUAAGACGUAGAAAAUAGAAAUCAAUUACUGCUGGAUUUUUUAAACUCCUACAGAUUUUAUUAAAUAAUGUGUGAGAACGGAUCAUUGGAUUCUUCUUUUUGAAAGAGCUUAAAUUUAUGAAAACCAUCUACGGGAAAUCAAUUAAUUUACAUAUCCAGUAAAUGCUGUCUUCCCUGUAGAGGUUGCGGGCCAAAUUCAAGAACCGCUUAAAUUAAUCUCUAAUGGCUAUGGCCUGUAGAUUGUUUUCUUGAACUAAACUUGGUUGAAAGAUUAGACAUUGGACUACCUCAAGUAAAUCAGGUGGCAAGUAAAAAAUAGAUGGUUGAAUCGAAGGGUGUAUAUACCAAGAACAUCAGGUUCGAUCCUGAACAAUUUUUGAGAGAUGUGUGCUCACUGUUUCUGCAAAGCAAGAAGGGUGCAUUGUUCCAGCCCAGCACAAAAACGAAAAUAAGCUGCAGGGUAACCAGUCCAGAGAGAACAUCACCAUCCUUGCUCAACCUUGAUCAAAUAAAUUUAAUGUUUCAAAAUUUUGUUAAAGUACGUGUAAAUUAAAUCAUAUUAUUCAUUAAAAUUAAUUUUAUUUCUUUUUUUUUAAGAGCAUCUAGAAAUUUAAUAAAAUCUUAAGAACUUAUCUCUCAGAACCACCUGAUUAGAAGCCAUAAAAUCAUCUAGUAGAUGAGUGAUUCAGUGGUAAGAAUUUCAAAUUCAAGAGUUUGUAGGUGAGUGAUUUAGUGGUAAGAAUUUCAAAUUCAAGAGUUUGCUUUUCAUUGUAGUUUCAAAUUCGAACCCUGUGAUUGCUAAUAUGAUGGUCAUUGGAGGUUUUCAUGAUCAUUAAUUUCAGGACCCGUGAGAUUAGUCGAGGUACAUUGUUAAUUUCAGGGCCCGUGAGAUUAGUCGAGGUACGCGCAAACUGAACCGGACAUUCACGUUAAUAAAUUUUUUUUAAUCAUUACGAGGUUUGAAUUUAAAAAAAUAAACAUAACUUUUAUGCCCAUAAAUCUAAGAAGAAUUAUUUCUUAAUAAUAAUAAUUUUAUCAUAUUGUAAACAAUGCUUUUAUCAUAAUAUUAACGGUUCAAUUUUCUGAUUAAAUUUUUUCUUAAUGAUAAUUUAUUUAAAAAAAAUAGAAAAAUGAAUGGGAUGCAUGUGAAUGUUUGUCGAUCAAAAUCUUUUUUGAUUCGGAGGUUGAAAUCAGAAAAAAGAAUAAUUUAGGGAUUGUCAUCCUCAACAGCCUACAGUUCAAGGGCGUAUAUAUGGAUUAGCCCAACUCUUUAUGGGCCCGAAAUCCAAUUACUAAAAUGCCCGCCACCUCAUCACUCCUUAAGACCACAAGAGGAAGGGCAGCAAAGGAAUUAACGGAAAAUAGAACCAGUCCCCUUAAAACGUAGAGAUACCUACCCUACAGCCAGAAAUCAGUGAAGAAUGAGGUUUUGCUCUAGAGAGAGACAUGGGAAUGGAUUUUCUCAGGGUGGUUGCCUCUCUCUCUCUCUCUCUCUGAAUGUCUGCGAAGCCUAUGAUUUCACGAUCUGAUAAUCAAUCAACCGCCCUGAGUUUGUGUGUAUGUGUCUGUAUAUAUAUGUAUGUGUGUGUGUAUGCUCUGGCGGUUCUCUUGCUGAUGAGAAUGCCUUUGCUUAUGCUCCUUCUCUUCUCCUGGUAGAGGCUGUGAUGAUAUUUCCCAGCGAAAACAUCAGUCAUUUUAAAGAAACCCUUCAAUCAUUUGGCAAGGCAAGUUAGGAUUUCGCUCAGAAAAUGACUCUUUUGUCCUGAGAUUCUUCUCUUGCAGCCAUGGUGUUUUUGUGUUUCUUUUUUAUUGUCUGGUGAUUAGUAUGGAUUUGAGCCUUUCCCUCUCUUUCUCUCUCUCAAAUAAAAAUAAAAAACAAUUCAAUCUCCCUCUCUCUAUCUCUCUCUCUCUCAAUCGGCUGUGAUGAUUUUUUUCUAAAUAGAAAAUCAGAUGGAAAGGAAGAUGUGAUCUUUGGCAGGGUAACUUUGAGGAGAUCAUUGUUGCAGCCAUUGAUUGUCAGUGUUCCUUUUCGUGUCUGACCAAAGGCGAAUCUGAGCCUCCCUCCCUCCCUCUUCUUCCUAAUCACUCUCUACAGCUUGAUCUAAACUUUUUUCACAAAUGUUUUUUUUUCCUGAAAAAUUUCAAAUGGGCUCAGUAUUUUCAAAUCAAUUUUUAGCAUUUUCAUUGUUUUUCUUAGAAAAACCAGAACUCUCUCUGUGAUCAGACCCUGUACCAUGUUUCGUGUCUUUAAUGCCCCGAAUUAUUCAAAUGGGCUGUUGAAUUGCAUGUCAAGCUAAAAUUUGGGUAAAGAAAGGGUCUUCUUUUGAACAAAUUUAAGUGAUAGUGAGCUACAGAUCUCAUUCUAUGAGGUUUGAAACUUAGACAUGAAAGAUGAGACAUAAUUUACUCUGCCCAGUUAUUGUUUCUAUUUAGGUAAAAACCUGACACUAAUGGGCCAUUCAGCUUGUGUUUAACGAGUUAUAUAUACAAACUCGUCCAGAGAUUUGAUUAAGUUGCCAGUAGACAGGUUAAAAAAAAAAUCAGCCACAUAUCCUUGCCAUGUUAACUAAUUACACAUCAAAGAUAGCAAGGUAAAUGCCAUGAUGGCUACUAAAGAAAGGCCCACGUUAGCAAUGUUUUGUAAGGCAUUUGAAUGAGGUGAAGUUGCAGGAGGGGGGGAUGCAGGAGGGGGGGAUGCAGGUUUGGUUACGGCAGGGAGUGGUGGGUCCACAACAUCUGCAACAUCCAAGGCUGGUGUUGGUGUACUUGCUGGUGGCUGUGUUUCUUCAGGAACUGUCUUCAGUAGACUACCAGCUUCAGCUGGAAUGAUGCUGUAUGAGCUAUCGGGCAUGGAAUUGGAAGAACAUGGAUUUCCUGAAUGGGAUCAAUGUUAGUAUGUUAGUGUACAAACUAGAGGAGUAAAGUCUAGGCGUCUUUUGUUAAGCAUGAGCUUUUGUAUAAGAAUUUAUAGUUUUGGUGAGGCUGGUACUUACUCAAAUAUCUGCUUGCAGUUGCUGGAUACUCGGUUAUGAUUCCAUCAACGCCUAUUCCAGAAGUGUAAGUUGCGAUCUCUAUUGUAGGAUCCGAAAAGUAAUCAAAUGGAAGGGUAAUAAAUUCAUUCCUUAAGACUGAGACAUAUACUGAGAUAUUCGCUGCUUGCAUUUCGUUUACGACUUUGGUGGUUCCUGUAGUGAAGCCAUUAACGGUGGGCACGAUGGAGAAUCUUGGCAGAGUUACUGCAUCAGCAUAUUUUUUGAUCUCCUCCACUGGUGUCCUGGGCGCAUCACUGAUUUCAUCUUUAAGAUAUAGUACUCUACUGUAUGCUGGGACGUUCUUAAACUUGGACAACACUGAUGUGUCGUCUGACUGGAUUAGGACUUUUUGUGUGGAUUCCUUGCCAAGUGUGGCAUUGCCAAAGGCAGUGUUAACAGCAGAUACUAUAUCAAGACCCUUCUGUGAGGCUAGGUAAGCGGCAUUCUGAAGACCAAGGACGUGCUUUAGAAAUUUGUAUCGUGGGUAGACGUUUAUAGCAAAUACAAACUAUGAUAGCGUGGAGAAUUUUCAAUGAAGUGAAUGAUUUUGACUAUGAAGAUGACACAUUCUAGAACACAGUUAAAAUUUGUGAAAGAGAAAUGCUCACCUCAAUGUUGAUUAAAAUCCCAGUAACCGCCUUUACUUUAGCCAAUUCCAGAAAUUCAGCAAGAGUAAGAAAUUUACCCUUGCUCUUGUUUGCAGGGUUUCUUGGCAAGCCACCCUUAUUCUCGAAAGGGCUUGUCAAUUGAGCUGGAAUAAGAAAAUUUGACAGUCAGGGAUUUCAAAAGAUUGCUUGAACAAAAUUGUAAGCAGGAAAGUAGCAACAAAGUUUACGUUGCAGUGUUUGAAUAUCGCUCCAUGAAAGGUCAAAGGAAAAAAUUCCAGCUGACUCUUGAAUUUCAGGGAUAGUGGUGGAUAGAGACAUGAAGGAAGCUGCUGCAGUUGUAUCUCUUGUAACAUCCACAGAAUCCAAGCAGAAAGCCACUCCAUCCUUUGACAUUUGAACUGAGCAAUCUAUUAUGUUAGCUCCAUCCUCUACAGCUUGCUGAUAAGCAAGAUCGGUGCUCCCAGCAUAAACUCCACUUGCUCCAUUGUGACUUAUGAUCAAAGCUUGUUCUGCAUAUAGACAUGCAUUGUUAAUCGGUUGCUCUUGUGGAAUGUACGUCGAAUAUAAGAAAAGCAUAUACCUUUUGUAGGUUUGAUAUCGGUGUACUGAGCAAAACAAGCUGCAUAAGAAAGAUAAAAUUGUAGGGUUAUAUUUUACACAUUCAUCUUCAUAGUACAAUUAAGAUGCUUUCUGAAAAGAAAACACACUUUGAUGACAAAAUCCUUUCUUUCAAUGUUGUUUCUAUCACAUGUUGGCCGAAAAUGAACACAGAGAGAAGGCAUGAGAAUGUAUUGACUUACCAACAGCCUCUGAUGCUGUGGGAGGAAAAUCUGUAAUCAACCCAUCAACAGAGAACUGGGAAUUAUCAAUGAAUUGCAGGUACUCAGCUGAUGGAUCAUAACUAUAAUUAUAACUUGUAGUGAAGUCAUUUGCAAAUCCAGAAGCAUAUACUUCAAGACCAAGUUUAUGAGCAUCGUUUACAAGGCUAGUGGGAGCUUCUAAAUAGUUAGCUGCAUUAACAGGCCAUAUGUAAUCUUUUGGGACAACAAUCCCAGAUGCGAAUGCCUUGAUUGUGGCAAGAUUUCCCAAAAUUGAACCAUAAGUUUGCUUGGUUGUGGGUUCAGUUGCAUUUUUGUCUAGGAACACAAAGACGAGCUUGGUCUUAGCCUUGUUCACCAAUCCAUUGAUUUUCUUUAAAAAACCAAUCUCAGGAGAAGAAAUGUAAUUCACACCCUGAAGUCUCGUUGCCUUUUGAAUGUAAUUUGCCACACUUAGUUUGUUUUCAGUAUAGAAUGCAUCAUACUGCAAACCAAGAAAAUAUAGAAAGCAAAGGCAUUAGUACUGCACACACUCAUAUGUUAAUUAGGAAGUAAAUUCAUAUAGAUUUCUGGGCAUGGAACCUGUCGACACCGUAAACCUUGAAAGGAAUAUUCAAACAAAGUUGUUAUCAGAAAGAGAGAGAGAGGAGAGGGACACCUGAACAUUCAACCAGAAUGCAGGGGGAUUGGAACUUCUGACAUCAUCAACAGUUGAUAUGGGCAGCAUCGCGUCGAAUGCACUUGGCCGGGAGAAAAUAUUUUGCAGCACUGCAUACGAGCAAAAUGACAACGCCGAAGAUGAAUUUUAGUCAUUUCAAGGCACAAAAUAAUUUGGUGAAGCUUAUUACCUUUCCUAUCUAUGCCAUGAAUAAUAAUAAGAUCUUGCAACCAUGAAACUGCUAUUUUCGUUCAAGACCUUGUAUCUGAUUUCCGCUAGAUUAUGGUAACACAAGAAGAUCUCUCUAUUAAACCAAAAUGUAGUUUCUGAGACUUACAGGACACAUUGGCAAGGAGUUGAUCAGCUGUAAAAUCUAUGGCGAACCACCCGGUUAUAUCCUGCCCAUUUACCUUGUAGGUUCUUGAUCCCUUUUCAAAUACCAUUGCUAUAUUUGUUGUGUUGUCAAGCCUGAUAUCUCCCUGGCAAAUCCCAACCCCUUCUUUUGUUAGUUGUAAAUUGCAGAGCACAGCCACACCACUCAGGCUUGUCGCAAGCGCCAUCUGAUUUGCAAAGUCACUGGAUUCAGGGAAGAGCCCCGAAAACCCUCCUCGGGCUAUCACAGAAGGUCUCCGGCCUGCAUGCACGAUGCACAAUCAUGUUGUCUUCCAUCAGACGAGGUUUCCAGUUGGAUUCUAAAAUAUAAGCAAAAGUAAAAUGCUGCUACCAUUUAGAGUCAGCCAUUUCUUUGAAGCAGAUUCUGAAUUCGCCAACGUCGCAUGGAUUACCAAAAAAACUAAAAGCACAUUCUUGAUCAUUUUCUUCUAAUCCUGUUAAUCUGUUAAACAAUGGUUGGUAUCCAAAUUCAACGAACCAUAACGAAUCAAUUUCGAAAAGAAAAAAACCCAUUGAUGAACUUACAUGAAUUUUUAAGGAUUAGGCUUAGAACAUGGGAAACAUUAAUUAGUUCCCUUGCAAGUUUCAAUUGGGAAUGAAUGAAACUCUUCAAGGAAAUGGAAUAAAAAUUCAAGAAAAAAAGGGGAGAGAAAUUGGUCUGACAAUUAAAGCAAUGACCAAGAAUCAAUUUUUUUUUCUUUUUUUGCGAUGCUAAAUUAACUCCUCCUCGUUUUUAUCGCAUUAAUGGCUGGUCGAGAAAUCAGUAAGCAGUUCGCUGCUUUGAUUUUAUGAUUUUAUUUAUGAACUUGAGAAUUACUUACUAUUUUUUAUUCCUAAUAUUUAGAAUCCUUUUUGUUGUUGAUUUUUUUUUGUCCAUCUUUCGCGGAAUGAUUUCACAGCUAAAAGUCCAACGACUUAACUGUUUUUUGAAACCCCUGCCUGCUAAUUUUAAAUUUUGAUGUGUCCAUCUUUAAGUUUUCUUCAUUUUUUAUUUUAAGGGCUUGUUUUGUCUUCCAUUCAAAUUAAAAUUAAGAAAAAUAAAUAAAUAAAUCCCAUCUUGAUUUCUUUGUUCACCCACUCACAAGUUAAGUUCAUGUGCACAGUAUUUUUUUUUGUUAUUUUUUUAAUUUAAUUUUUUAACAUUGUGUAUAUUAAAAAUUAAAUUUUAUAAUUUAUUUAUAUUUAUUUUUUAUAGGAUUAUUACGAUCUAAAAAAAUAUUUCAGCAAUAAGUCGGUACUUUAUUUUGCAUUAAAUAAUAUGAUUUUACUGAAGAUUGAGAAUUAGAGAAUUAAAAUUGAGAAUCAAUUAAAAUGUCAAACCUUUUAUAAAACAAAUCAAAAUGUUUCUCACACUUUUUCUGAAUAUAGCAAAGUUACUAUUUGAUCCCUUAGAUUUUCUAUUGAAUGUUUUGGCCCCAAAUUUCAUUGUUCUCACUUGUAGUUACUGGUUUGAGAUAGAAAAGGAAAAUUAUUCUAAAAUGAUGAGGAAAGAAAAAGUUGUUUAUUGAUCAUAUUUCAACCACUAAACAAAUAGUUUUUAGUGUAAACGAGUUAUAUUUGAUUAAAGAAGUUCUACUGGGGUAUUUUUUGCUCUUCACACUCCUUGAAAAAAAUAGAUUAGGGCUCAAGAAAUUUUUUAAAUUCGAGUUAAUCUUUUGUUUUUGGACUUUUUAAAUGUUAAGAUUACAAAUGAGUUAUUUUUGUACAUAUAUUUUUUAAAUUCCACCUUCCAAGAUCUUUUCUUUUAAUUUUAUCUUUCAACACUUUAUUAUUUUUAAAUAGGUCUUCAUAAUUUGUUUUAGUUUUCUUUUUAUGAUGUUAUUGCGGUUUAAAACAAACAUCCUUGUAUUUGAUUUGUACUCAAUUUUUGCGGUCGUUCAUUUUUGUUAUCAUAUCAUUAAAUAAAAAAUAUUUGAAAAAACUUUUUUUAACACAAUGGAGUCCAUGACCUAGUUCAUGAGUUUUGUGAGUUAAACCAUAAAGCCCAAGUCGAUCAAAUAUGUCGUCAUCUUGGUAUUAUUUUUUUAUUUUUCAAUUUUUUUUUAAAAAAAACCCCACCUUCCAAAAUUCUUUCUUUCAAUCUCAUUUUUCAAUAUUUAUUGAUUUUUAAUUGGCUAUCAUAAUUUGUUUCAAUUUUAUAUUUAUGAAGUUCUCGUAAUCUCAAAUAAAUAUUCCAAUAUUUGAUUGAUACUUAGUUUUUACAAGCAUCUAUUUUUGUUCUCAUAUCAUUCAAUGAAAAAUAAUUGAAUUUUUUUUUUAAAUAUAGUGGAGUCCAUGAUUCAGGUUGUGGAUUUUAUGAGUUAAACCGCAAAGCUCGAGUCAAUCCAAUGUGUUGCCAUCCUAGUAUUAAUAAAAAAAAUAUCUUCUUAUUUUUUUUUAAAAUCAAACUAUGAUUUUAACAAUCAUUCGAAUUGUCUUAUAACUUGCCAAGUAAACUCGGACAUGUAGAGUCAAUUUUCAUGUGAGUUAAUUUUAAAUUCAAGUUGGACAAGAAGUUAGGUAGGGAGGUUUUAAGGUUGAACCAUUGGGUCCGAUUUAAUAAUAAUACCAAAUAGUUUUUUUUUUUUAAAUUUCAUCUUCCAUUUUUUUUAAUCAAUUGAAUCCUCUUUGGCUUUUUUAAUCAAUUGCAUUUUUCAAUAAUUAAUUGAUUUUGAAUUUAUGUUCAUAAUUUUCUUUGAUUUAUUUUUUAUGAUAUUAUCGCAAUUUUAAAUAAUCAUCCCGACAUUUGUUUGGUGCUCAAUUAUAUGAUUGUUUAUUUUUGUUAUUAUAUCAUUGAUUAAAAAAUAAUUUUAAAAAACAAAAUGAUUAAAUUCAAUAAAGUCCAUGAUUUGGGUAAUAAGUUUAGUAGGUUGAGUCGUAAAGCUCAAGUUGAUCUAAUAUAUAACUGUCUCAAUAUUAAAAACAAAAUUUAAUCUUGAAUUUUUUUUAAAAAACAAACCAUGUUUUUUUAUAGGCAAUCCAAAUUAUUUUUGGAUCUAUCCAGUUAAUUAAGUUAUACCAUGAAAAUUCUUACAAGAUUAAUUUACACUAGAAAACAAGUUAAGAAAAUUUAAAAUUAAUUAUAAAAUCAAGUUUAAUAAAAAUAUUAAAUAAUUUUUUAAUACACUAAAAUUUAUUUAGAUUCAAUAAAUAUUUUAUCCAAUAUGCAGCAGACCAAAAAAUUAGUUUUAUCCUAAAACUGCACUGGAUUGGAUAAAAGGAGAAGCUGUAAAUGGGCAUCUAAAUUCAUUCAGAAUAAAUUUUUAUCAAAAUACGUGAUAAUAGAUAAUGCGUUAAAAAAUAAUAUUAAAUUGAUAUUUAUCUUAAAACUUUUAAAAAAUCAAGAUAAACAUUAACUAUUAAAAUGUAAUAUCUCUAUUGCUUCGGUAGAAGUAAAAUUAAGAUAGAAAAAAA